UGCCAGCCGCCGCGGUAAUACGGAGGGGGCUAGCGUUGUUCGGAAUUAUUGGGCGUAAAGGGCGCGUAGGCGGUCAGACAAGUUGGUGGUGAAAUCCCUCGGCUCAACCGGGGAACUGCCCCCAAAACUGUCUGACUUGAGUCCCGGAGAGGGUGGCGGAAUUCCCAGUGUAGCGGUGAAAUGCGUAGAUAUUGGGAGGAACACCAGUGGCGAAGGCGGUCACCUGGACGGGUACUGACGCUGAGAUGCGAAAGCGUGGGGAGCGAACAGGAUUAGAUA
rnacentral:rRNA from 1 species